rnacentral:rRNA from 1 species
CCUACGGGUGGCAGCAGUGGGGAAUAUUUCGCAAUGGGCGAAAGCCUGACGCAGCGACGCCGCGUGAGGGAUUAAGGUCUUCGGAUCGUAAACCUCUGUCAGCAGGGAAGCACGGUCACUGUGCUAAUCAGCAGUGAAUUGACGGUACCUGCAAAGGACGCACCGGCUAACUCCGUGACAGCAGCCGCGGUAAUACGGAGGGUGCGAGCGUUAAUCGGAAUUACUGGGCGUAAAGCGCUCGUAGGCGGUAUGUCAAGUCAAGGGUGAAAGCCCCGCGCUCAACGUGGGAACUGACGUUGAAACUGGCAAACUGGAGUGUGUGAGAGGAUAGUGGAAUUCCAGGUGUAGGAGUGAAAUCCGUAGAUAUCGGGAGGAACAUCAGUGGCGAAGGCGACUAUCUGGCAUAUAACUGACGCUGAGGAGCGAAAGCGUGGGUAGCAAACAGGAUUAGAUACCCUUGUAGUC